CAGAUUUUUGUGAAAGAGAAGUGGAGAGAAAAGUGGAAGAAGUCAUACAUCCCAUUUCAAGUUUUCAUUUUCGUAUUCCUUGGACAGCCCCCACUAAACUGAUCAUAACUCUCUGCUCACAACUCCGAUUCAGAAAAACGAGCUUGAAGUUGGGACAUGCAUGCUGAAUGUGAAGAAGAGUGGGCUACGGAUUUGAUGAAGAUGAAGUGAAACUUUGACUAUGGUGGGAGUUCAAUGGCAGCAAGGAACAUCUUUCUAACCUCUCUAAAUCCAUGGUACAGUUUAGUAGUGGUUGGUCAGUAGCAGGUUUGGAUUGAAGACAUGGAAGUGGUGAUGGCUCAAAGACCUCGUCAGAUCUCUUUUUCCGCUGUGCAGAUCCAUUGAAGACAGAUGUUUUGUAAUUCUUGUUAGAAUUUCAUGUUGUAUUGUAUUAUGGAUCUUUCUAUAUAUAUAGCUUUUGUAUGUACUCAAUAUCAAUUUUAACGUUAUAUGCAUAAUAUACUAGUCAAUUAUG